rnacentral:misc_RNA from 1 species
GAACGCACCUUGCGCUCCUUGGUAUUCCGAGGAGCAUGCCUGUUUGAGUGUCAUUAAUAUAUAUCAACCUUCUCUUUGUUGAGAGGUUUGGAUGUGGGGGUUUGCUGGCCUUUAUUAAAAGGUUCAGCUCCUCUGAAAUGCAUUAGCAGAACAAACCUGUUCAUUGGUGUGAUAACUAUCUACGCUAUUGAAUGUGAGGGGCAGUUCAGCUUUCUAACCGUCCUCGGACAAAUUCAUCAUUAAUGUGACCUCAAAUCAGGUAGGACUACCCGCUGAACUUAAG